rnacentral:misc_RNA from 1 species
ACUGGUAGAUAGUCACUCGUG